UGGGGAAUAUUGGACAAUGGGCGAAAGCCUGAUCCAGCCAUGCCGCGUGUGUGAAGAAGGUCUUCGGAUUGUAAAGCACUUUAAGUUGGGAGGAAGGGCAGUAAGCGAAUACCUUGCUGUUUUGACGUUACCGACAGAAUAAGCACCGGCUAACUCUGUGCCAGCAGCCGCGGUAAUACAGAGGGUGCAAGCGUUAAUCGGAAUUACUGGGCGUAAAGCGCGCGUAGGUGGUUCGUUAAGUUGAAUGUGAAAGCCCCGGGCUCAACCUGGGAACUGCAUCCAAAACUGGCGAGCUAGAGUAGGGCAGAGGGUGGUGGAAUUUCCUGUGUAGCGGUGAAAUGCGUAGGUAUAGGAAGGAACACCAGUGGCGAAGGCGACCACCUGGGCUCAUACUGACACUGAGGUGCGAAAGCGUGGGGGGCAAACAGG
rnacentral:rRNA from 1 species